rnacentral:lncRNA from 1 species
CGCGUCACGUUUCUGUCAGACGCACCUGUUAGCGUCUAGUAGUCAAGACGAUACGCAGGUAUUAUUUUUCUGAACCUGCUGCGAUACGACAGAGAGAAAACGCAGAAUUUGGGCUUCGAACGUCAAGGUAAGAUUGUUUAUUUUGAGUUGAUGGGAUUUAUUAACGUGAGUCACAAAAUUGCAUCAAGUCAGUUUUCUAUGAGUUAAUUAGAAAGAGUAUCAAUAUCUCUAACGAUCUGUUAUUUGUCAGGUGUCAUGGGGUCAUGGAUGCUGGUUCUGUGUACCACAGUCACUCUGAUGCCUGUGUGUCUUCACGGAGCAAUAUCGGUCCGUUUUAAAACCGGACGGCCUCUGUAUGUUGCGCUCGGACAAACUCUUGUUCUGGAAGCCGUGUUUGAGAAGGAUCCAGAAGACAAGAUAGACAUAGUGACGUGGGACCGCGAGAGAGGAAGAGAGCAUGUCAGGCUGUCACACAGAAACAGAAUAUCUUUGGAGAACGGAGAUGCACUUCUGCGGGUCACUGAUGUUGCAGAAGGGGACUUUGCGAUCUACAAGGUCACUGUUACAGACAGGAACGGAUACCAGCAGCACGACUCAAUAGAAGUGCGAAAGACAGGUAAAUAA